UACGGAGGGGGCUAGCGUUGUUUGGAAUUACUGGGCGUAAAGCGCGUGUAGGCGGCCCUGCAAGUCGGAUGUGAAAUCCCACGGCUCAACCGUGGAAGUGCAUUCGAAACUGCAGGGCUAGAGUCCUGGAGAGGAAGGUGGAAUGCUUGGUGUAGAGGUGAAAUUCGUAGAUAUCAAGCGGAACACCGGUGGCGAAGGCGGCCUUCUGGACAGUGACUGACGCUGAGACGCGAAAGCGUGGGGAGCAAACAGG
rnacentral:rRNA from 1 species